UACGAAGGGGACUAGCGUUGCUCGGAAUGACUGGGCGUAAAGGGCGCGUAGGCGGCUCAUACAGUCAGAUGUGAAAUUCCUGGGCUUAACCUGGGGGCUGCAUUUGAUACGUGUGGGCUUGAGUGGGGAAGAGGGUCGUGGAAUUCCCAGUGUAGAGGUGAAAUUCGUAGAUAUUGGGAAGAACACCGGUGGCGAAGGCGGCGACCUGGUCCUUGACUGACGCUGAGGCGCGAAAGCGUGGGGAGCAAACAGG
rnacentral:rRNA from 1 species